UACACGAAGAACCUUACCUGGGUUUGACAUAUAGGUUGUAGGGAACUGAAAAGGGACCGACCCUUCGGGAGCCUAUACAGGUGUUGCAUGGCUGUCGUCAGCUCGUGUCGUGAGAUGUUCGGUUAAGUCCGCUAACGAGCGCAACCCUCGUCGUAUGUUAUAUGUGUCAUACGAGACUGCCGGUAAAAGCCGGAGGAAGGUGAGGAUGAUGUCAAGUCAGCAUGACCUUUAUAUCCAGGGCUACACACACGCUACAAUGGUCUGUACAAUGGGUAGCCAAGCCGCGAGGCGGAGCCAAUCCUGAAAGCAGGCCUCAGUUCAGAUUGCAGUCUGCAACUCGACUGCAUGAAGCCGGAGUUGCUAGUAACCGCAGGUCAGCAAUACUGCGGUGAAUACGUUCCCGGGUCUU
rnacentral:rRNA from 1 species